ensembl:lncRNA
CUUUUAUGGAAAAUUAAGCCCUCAAUGACUUCUUAUAUCCCCCGUGGACAGAGAGAAGUUUAUUCUCUGCCUCUCUGCAACAGCCUUGUACAUGUUUGACAUCUCCUGUUUAUCCCCUGACCAACACCAAUUCUCCAUCUCUCUUUCCCCAGAUUUUCAGCCCUGGUGCUGGUCUCCACUGGAUUCUUUCCUCUCCUUACUUGCUUGAGCACAGUGCUGAAGACCAGACAAUGGCUCUCAAGGCAUAUAUGUAUCUGGGUGAUGUUGUGCGGCAAGUGACAGUGUCUAGGAAACAUCCCCAGAACAUCACAAAAAUAUCUGCGCUCCUGAUUUUGGGAGAGGGUGUGCUGCAUGGCCCAGAGGAAGCUCACGAGCAUCUCUCACCUGAAGAACCAGCCACCAAAUUUGUUGACAGUUUACAUGGUACACAGGAGGGAACUCUGCCCUGGGCAGGCCAGGAAAGAUGCUGGGCUCUACAGCUUCCUUUUCUGUUGACUGGCAAGAUGGUGCUUUGUCAGGUAACUGCUGUCACCACCAACUGCAGAGCUCAUUGCAUCUAGAGUAUGACACCUUCUGAGCUGCUUCUUUUAUGCGUUAACCUACUUGGAAACAGAGGCUCAUGUGCAAAUUCCCACUGUAUUUUGUGAAGGCUGGAAUGUAAGCCAGAUCUGAGCUGAAUCUCCCCUUCCAAGAGCCAGCUGAAUCAAAAUCCCCUGAUGCAGACAUCCCCAAAUUUUAUGGGUGCAAAAGACGUCUUGAUCCAAAUUUUGCAGUUUGCUCCCAUCUCUGCUUAAAACAUAAAAUGUAUGUUUUUAGGGAAAAGGGAUAUAAACAUCUUGUUCAUGUUUGAGCUGAGAAUGUCUUUUUUCUGUAGGCUGUCAACACAACUUCAAAUGCAUGCAGCCUGUCCAAUCUGACAGACAAUUUGCAUAUUUGUGGAAUGCUAACGCCAAGUUACUGUAUACAUUUGUACAUGAAAGCAUUAGAAAGUUUGAAGGAUUAAAGGUGGAAAUGUAUCCCUCUGAGCCUCAAAGAUCAAGACAGUACAUCAAUAGAUGGCAGACAAAUAACUGCUGGUUUGCCAUUUGGAAUGGUUUCCCCCAAAAAUAAUAAUUAAAAUCCAUACUACUUCCUAGGAUGUGAAUAGCUGAGGGCUUU